rnacentral:rRNA from 1 species
UACGUAGGGGGCAAGCGUUGUCCGGAAUCAUUGGGCGUAAAGCGCGUGUAGGCGGCUUGAUAAGUCCGUUCUGAAAGCCCGGGGCUCAACCCCGGGAGGCGGAUGGAUACUGUCAAGCUUGAGUCCGGAAGAGGCGAGUGGAAUUCCCGGUGUAGCGGUGAAAUGCGCAGAUAUCGGGAGGAACACCAAUGGCGAAGGCAGCUCGCUGGGACGUGACUGACGCUGAGACGCGAAAGCGUGGGGAGCAAACAGG